ACCUCAGAUUCCUGCUGUGUUGUUUAAACGGGGAGUUUCGCAGAGUUGGAGGCGAUCCGAAAAAGCUCAGGAGGCAGUGCCGUGAUGAAGUCCAGACGUGACGUCCCACCUUAUCUCUCCUGGGUGUUUCCACUCCAAACAUCGCUCCUGAGUGUAAAGGAUGUGACUCAAACGUGUUCGGUGCACGGUCCUGGUGAUGACAGACCGGUCUGACCCACAGGUGACAAUGUCAGACCUGUUUCUCACACUCAAGUGCCCAAACUUGAGCUUUAUUUUCCCUCCUUUGCUCUCAAAUAGAAAUGAGGUGCAACUUUUAUGGCUUUACCUUCUUUCUGCAAACACCUUUGCAGUGUUGGAGUUCAGUUUUCAAGGAUUUGAAGGAACAGAUAGCAGUGUGUGCUGCUGCCAUCUAGUGGUGGACUCAUGCUCUCCUGGCAGAGGCUCCAGCUUCUUGAAAUGAACUCUGAAGAAAGAAGUCAUAACCUCCCUUAUUCUCCUGUUUUACAAAUAAAGCAUCAAAAUUAGUUUUUCAUGCUGUACCCCUCAGGAUUUUAAAUCCUAACACUUUGGGGAAGUCUUAAGUUGUAGUAAAGUUGACAUAUUUGACUUGAAUCCACACAAACAUUUCCACUUUGCUGGCAGACCACAGAAAUGAAGCUUAGCAAGGCCUUGCUCCGUCCAUAUGGUGCAGAAAAGAAGCACAAGGUGUAAACACGACAUAUUGGAUUUAGUAAGCAUGUGUUAAGAUUCAGCAUUUGGCGUUUUAUGCACCUCUCUGUAAUAAAGUUGUAUAUUGAUGCUUGAUUGUAUCGUUACGCA